UCAACAUGUCCUUUCUUCGGCCACCCGGACCCACCAUCUUCUUGCGCUUGUCCGCACGUACAAGCUUGGGGAUCCCUCGACGCGUUGAUCGGACGGCUUAGAGCCGCUUACGAAGAAAACGGUGGACGGCCGGAUUCGAACCCGUUUGCUGCACGCGCCGUUAGGAUUUACUUAAGGGAAGUCAAAGAGAGUCAAGCUAAGGCUCGUGGGAUUCCUCACGAGAAAAAGAAACGGAAACGGAAACCUACCGUUACCACCGUUAGAUUGGAUGUUGACUUAGCGAGUGGAAUCGCCGGAGAAGGAAGUAACGGUGUUUCUCCGUCUGC
rnacentral:lncRNA from 1 species